UACAGAGGUCUCAAGCGUUGUUCGGAUUCAUUGGGCGUAAAGGGUGCGUAGGCGGCGCGGUAAGUCGGGUGUGAAAUCUCGGAGCUUAACUCCGAAACUGCAUUCGAUACUGCCGUGCUUGAGGACUGGAGAGGAGACUGGAAUUUACGGUGUAGCGGUGAAAUGCGUAGAGAUCGUGAGGAAGACCAGUGGCGAAGGCGGGUCUCUGGACAGUUCCUGACACUGAGACACGAAGGCCAGGGGAGCAAACGGG
rnacentral:rRNA from 1 species